GAUGAACGCUAGCGACAGGCUUAACACAUGCAAGUCGAGGGGCAGCAUAAAAGUAGCAAUACUUUGGUGGCGACCGGUGCACGGGUGAGUAACGCGUAUGCAACCUACCUAUCAGAGGGGAAUAACCCGGCGAAAGUCGGACUAAUACCGCAUAAAACAGGGGCACCGCAUGGUGAUAUUUGUUAAAGAAAUUCGCUGAUAGAUGGGCAUGCGUUCCAUUAGGUAGUUGGUGAGGUAACGGCUCACCAAGCCGACGAUGGAUAGGGGAACUGAGAGGUUGGUCCCCCACACUGGUACUGAGACACGGACCAGACUCCUACGGGAGGCAGCAGUGAGGAAUAUUGGUCAAUGGGCGGGAGCCUGAACCAGCCAAGUCGCGUGAAGGAAGAAGGAUCUAUGGUUCGUAAACUUCUUUUGCAGGGGAAUAAAGUGCGGGACGUGUCCUGUUUUGUAUGUACCCUGAGAAUAAGGAUCGGCUAACUCCGUGCCAGCCGCCGCGGUAA
rnacentral:rRNA from 1 species